CUGACGCCUCCAUCGCCUCUCAAUGGUGUGGUUUGACCACAUCGAGACUGACAGCGACUGUCCAAAUGUCACGAAGCAGAAACAUGGCAGACGUAAGGAGAUGCUGAAGGAUUUUAACCUGAGCAGUGGCACAGUCCUAUUGGGGUUUCAUCUUUGAUGGCUUUUGGCAGCAAGUGUAGGGAAGGGACUGAGUAAGAAAGAAACUCAAGAUAGGAAAACUAACCCCAAGCUAAUCGUCCGAUGAAUGCCCUAAAAAUGAGGGGAAGCGGCCCCAGUGCUCUCCCGGACCCACCUGCAGGCCGGGACGGAGGUGGGGGGACAGGUAACCCUGAGGGGGCCUCACAGAUCAAGCUGGGGAUCUCGGAAAAUAAGAGCUGCUGAGACUGCAGGCCACGCGUUGAUCAAUGAAUGGGUGCUUCUGUUACAAAUGUCAUGUUCACGGCGUAUCCCGGAGUCCUGAGUUACACUCGUCGGAGCACAUCUGACCUCGCUGGGAGCUGUGCUCCCCGGGACCUGGGAGUUAACCUCGAAAUUCGGUCCACCCUCCUUUUCCG